GACGAACGCUGGCGGCGUGCCUAAUACAUGCAAGUAGAACGCAGUUGCGAACGGGUGAGUAACGCGUAGGUAACUGCCUCAUAGCGGGGGUAACCUAUUGGAAACGAUAGCUAAUACCGCAUACUGUGAGAUGGACCUGAGUUGUAUUAGCUAGUUGGUGAGGUAAAGGCUCACCAAGGUGACGAUACAUAGCCGACCUGAGAGGGUAGUCGGCCACCCUGGGACUGGGACGCGGGCCAGACUCCUACGGGAGGCAGCAGUAGGGAAUCGUCGGCAAUGGACGGAAGUCUGGCCGAGCAACGCCGCGUGAGUGAAGAAGGUUUUCGGAUCGUAAAGCUCUGUUGUUAGAGAAGCUGUAACUAACCAGAAAGGGACUGCUAACUACGUGCCAGCAGCCGCGGUAAUUC
rnacentral:rRNA from 1 species